UACACUUGGCGCCGCUCAGGUGCAGCUUAACGCUGCUGAAAAGGGAAGCAGGUGAAACGCCUGCACUGUACCCGCAACUGUAAUACGCGCUGCAAGCAACAGCCACUGGUACCUUACCGGGAAGGCGCUUGUGGGGUAUCGCGUUAAGUCAGGAGACCUGCCCGGGCUUACAUAACGUC
rnacentral:ncRNA from 2 species